UGGAACGUGGCCAAGUGGUAAGGCAAUAGGGUUUGGUCCUGUUAUUCGUGGGUUCGAAUCCUUCCGUUCCA
rnacentral:tRNA from 1 species